rnacentral:rRNA from 1 species
CACGUAGGCACCAAGCGUUGUCCGGAUUUAUUGGGCGUAAAGAGCUCGUAGGCGGUUCAGUAAGUCGGGUGUGAAAACUCUGGGCUCAACCCAGAGACGCCACCCGAUACUGCUGUGACUUGAGUACGGUAGGGGAGUGGGGAAUUCCUGGUGUAGCGGUGAAAUGCGCAGAUAUCAGGAGGAACACCGGUGGCGAAGGCGGUUCUCUGGGAAUAUCCUGACGCUGAGGAGCGAAAGUGUGGGGAGCGAACAGG